AGCGAACGCUGGCGGCAGGCCUAACACAUGCAAGUCGAACGGACCCUUCGGGGUUAGUGGCGGACGGGUGAGUAACACGUGGGAACGUGCCUUUAGGUUCGGAAUAGCUCCUGGAAACGGGUGGUAAUGCCGAAUGUGCCCUUCGGGGGAAAGAUUUAUCGCCUUUAGAGCGGCCCGCGUCUGAUUAGCGAGUUGGUGGUGUAAAGGAACACCAAGGCGACGAUCAGUAGCUGGGCUGAGAGGAUGAUCAGCCACAUUGGGACUGAGACACGGCCGAAACUCCUACGGGAGGCAGCAGUGGGGAAUCUUGCGCAAUGGGCGAAAGCCUGACGCAGCCAUGCCGCGUGAAUGAUGAAGGUCUUAGGAUUGUAAAAUUCUUUCACCGGGGACGAUAAUGACGGUACCCGGAGAAGAAGCCCCGGCUAACUUCGUGCCAGCCGCCGCGGUAAAAC
rnacentral:rRNA from 1 species